UGGAGAACAACCACCAUGCGAGAGAGAGAAAGAAGAAGGUCUGAAACAGUGCAUUCCUUCUACAGGAAGGUAAAUGAGAUCGCUUGUUAGUGAUUCAUGAUUCCUGCAAUUGUCAAUUGAUUUUGAUGUGGGCUCGCUAGCGGCUGCCAUAGCACUGUCGCGAAGCUCAGCCGCGCUGCGAGCGAUCGCUGCGUUUGACGCCAGUCGCAGCGGUGAGAGUCGCGGCGCUACACGACCCUACGUAUGUGAGCGAUGUGGCCGUCACUAUGCCGUCUCCUAUACGCUGGACCGACACAGGAAGUACGAGUGCGGCGUCGUCAAGCAGUUCUUCUGUCGCAAGUGCUUCAGGCCGUUCAGUCGCGCCGACUCGAUGCGUGUCCAUAUGCGAAAUUGUCACGCCAAGGAAACGACGCCUUCGCUCUCGCCUUCCACUAGCCAAACCGCGCGACGUGACGAUUAUCUUUGAAUUAGGCUCUAUUUUCAUAAAUAUUACUGUAAUCAAUUAAUUGUUAGUCAUCGAAACUGUUAUUUCAUUGUUAUAUCUUUAAUUAGGCUCUAUUUUUAUGUGUGGAAAUCAAUAAGUCAAAUAGUGAUGUUUUAUCGUAUAACGAAAUUGUUGUUAUAUUGGUUUGUUAUUUAUGUCUCUUCUCUUUGAAUCGUAGUCUUUCCAGUAAUUGAUUAAACAUAUUUCGAAUUAUAAAACCAGAUUCUUAACUGAAAUAGUUGAUUAUAUAUAAUUUCUACAUGCAAAAAUGGAACCUAAACUCUGUAUAAAAGAAGUAGAGACUUGUGCUUCCAUUCGGUCAAAUAUCGUCGAUUUGAGACUUUCUGAUGCAAGAUUAUAGAGUUAAUACUAUAUUCAAUGUGACAACAUAGACGAUACAGUGUUGUCAUAUUGGUUGUAUUCAAUCUGAUUGCAUCAAAUCGUGACUUUCGGAUGCAAGCCUGUAGGACUGAAUGAAUUCAAUGUGACAACACCGUCGAUGCAGCAUUGUCACAUUGACUAUAUUCAGUCUCUUAUGUUUGUAUGAGAAAGUCGCGAUUUCAAACAAUCAGUGAAAGUCGAUAUUUGACUAACUGGAAGCUCAAGUCUCAAUUUAUUCUUCAGAGUACAGGCUCUAUUUUUUCAAGUGUUGAAAUGAUGUAUAAUCAAUUACAAAAAUUGUUUAAUUAAGAUUUUGUUUUUGAGUUGAGAUUUGUUUAAUCAAUUGCAUAUUAAAUUAGAAUUAAUGAAUCUUUAGUGUUGGAAUAGUAUGUUGAAGGAUCAUUUUCUUGAGGUGGCUCCACAUUCAAUGGAAAAUUCGUAGUCUUCCGGCAUCGAGAAAAUGUGAACGGGUGGAUGGAGAAAUGUGUGGAGGUUUCACAGAUUUCUUCUUCCACACUUUGAAGUUUUCCUUGAGAUCGGACGCCUUGUGCAGACAUUCUGUUGCCUGUUGAACCACCUCAAGAAACUACUCUUUCAAUAGUUCCCAUGCAAAAGUUCUAUCAAUUCUAGUAUAGACAUAUUUUUUGUCAUGUAAUGAAUAUAUUAUCGUAUUGAUUUGUUAUUAAUAUUAUUUAUCAUAAAUACUGUAGUUCAUUUGGUAUGAAAGGACUUAAUGUGUAGUAGUGAAGGUGGUAUUGCGGUAUAUAUUGAAUAAGAUUCGCAAUUGACACAACAAUUUAUUUAUUAAGUAACGAGAAACUAGUUUCAUUUCUUACACACGUAUUGAUCUCUUAUAACUAGUUCUCUAAUUUUACUAGAGAUCUACGAGUAGUCUAGAGAGAUUGAUACUAGUGUAACAAUUGAAAUCAUUUUCUCAUUUUCGUUAUAAACAAGUGGUUUGUGACAAUUGGUAGGUUUUCUAUGUAAUUAUUCAAUAUGAAAUCUGUCACAUUAUCAUCUUUACUACUACCCAGAAGAGAAUCAGUUAAACUACAGGGAGUAAACAUAUCACAAAAACGAAUUAUUGAUUAAUAUAACUAAUUAUUCUACAACGAAAAUUAUUGCCUUCUAAAAAUUUGUAUUAGUCAAGAAUUUAUUCUAUGGCUGGAAGCUCUAGAAAUUCCUGUUCACUCCUCAAAUUAAUUUUAAUAUAAUGUAUUUUUAUAUUACUAUUAAAUUUUGGAGGUUUCAGUAGGUUUCCUAGAUUCUUUCAGUCAAAUGUUUAUCAACCUGGUUUUUUAGUCAUAAUUAUUAGCCUUAUUGGCUUUGGAAUAGCCUUGCCAAAGAUUAGAAUAGUUUAGUUUAAGUUAAUGACAGCCUGAUUAGCGUUAAGUGUUCAAUUCAAGUUCCCAUAAAAAUAUGUUAAGGUGCGUACAGAUAUAUGCGCCGCGAACAUGAGCAAUUCACUUUUAAUCAGCUGACUAUAUCUGUAUUUUUACAGAAACGGUAAAAGAUAUAGAUAUAAAAAGCUUGGCAUCAGCUGAUUAAAAGUGAAUUGAUCAUGUUCGCGGCGCGUAAAUCUGUACGCACCUUCAGACGCGUUAUUUCGAAUAAGUCACAUUUUGUCAAUGAUUUUCUUGUCAAACUAUAAUUUUACAUUUCAAUUAUUGUUGGAUAUUUUUUAUUCAAAUAAUAAUUUCCCUUCCCCUACAGUAUUGAACCAUAAGUCUUCCACUUCACCUUUCGCAGAAAAUUCAGUAUUCGAGAAUAUUAAUUUUCAUUUCUUGUAAAUCUUAUUUUAUUCAAGGAUUUCCCACUUUCACAUUAUAUUAUGGGAUCUUGAUGGUUUUGUUUUAGUUAUAAGUUUUGACAGCCUGUGUUAGAAUAUUGUAUUAAACUAGUAUUAUUGUUUUUAAAUUUUAUUAAAUUUGUUGGUGUUAAAAAUUUGAACUUUAUUGUAACGUAUUUGAACAUUCUAAGAAGAUUUACUAAUUUUCAUAGAUAUGAUAUAUUCUAUAGUUUUUUGCGUGUGAAUCUAUUGAAAAUCCUGAACUUGAAAAACAGUAUUAUUCAUGUACAGUAUUUUAUACAAAUUGAGAGUAUUUGAAACUAUAAAGUGACACUUCACUUAUACGAGUCUAUUAUUGUUGUGUUGUUGAUACGGUUGUUGAAUAUUCUCUGUCAUGUUGACAGAGAAAAUGUUUCGUUUAUGAAAAAUUGUACCGUUAAGUAUUUUUGUAAUUCAAUAAUUUGUAAUAGCAUUGCCUGAAUAAUUACUUCUUACCUUGUUGAUAACCUUUUAUCAACUUCUAAUAUUUUUGAAAUAAUUUUAUAUGAGUCGUCUACUAGUGUAAAAAUUAAAUGAAAGUAUUGACCAUUGAUUGUACAAGUAAUAUUUUAUUCUAAUAAUGUCAAAUAGUUCUAGUUUUUUGUAAUUCAUAGGUUUCACAUCAAUAUAAACCAUUUUAUUGUAUUAGCUCUAGUUGCAAAUUUGAGACUCAAAAUAUUCAUCAAGUGAUUUACUAAUUUAUUUUGCUCUGAUUUGGGUUUUCCAAAUUAUCUUGGUUUUCCCCAAGUCGUGAAGGUGAAUGCCGGAGCAUACCUGAUAUGUUAUCAGAUAUCCUGAUUUGUUAGAAAAUUGUAUCAAAGCUACUUCAAUUCAAAUUACUCCUCUGUUUAGAAGUUUGCUUAAUUUUCAACUAUUUCGAACGGUCAAAUUUUUGUUAUUUCGAUGUGAAAUUAAAUUUCUGAAAUAGAGCUGUGAAAUUGAAAGUUGAAAUGAUUUUUAUUGAAAUGUUUCAUGACUGAGAGGAAUAAAUCAAUUGUUAUUCAAAAAGUA